AUACGUAGGUGGCGAGCGUUGUCCGGAAUUAUUGGGCGUAAAGAGCAUGUAGGCGGCUUAAUAAGUCGAGCGUGAAAAUGCGGGGCUCAACCCCGUAUGGCGCUGGAAACUGUUAGGCUUGAGUGCAGGAGAGGAAAGGGGAAUUCCCAGUGUAGCGGUGAAAUGCGUAGAUAUUGGGAGGAACACCAGUGGCGAAGGCGCCUUUCUGGACUGUGUCUGACGCUGAGAUGCGAAAGCCAGGGUAGCGAACGGGAUUAGAUACCCCGGUAGUCCUGGCCGUAAACGAUGGGUACUAGGUGUAGGAGGUAUCGACCCCUUCCGUGCCGGAGUUAACGCAAUAAGUACCCCGCCUGGGGAGUACGGCCGCAAGGCUUAAACUCAAAUGAAUUGACGGGG
rnacentral:rRNA from 1 species